rnacentral:rRNA from 1 species
CAGUCGCCGCGGGAAUACGUAGGGUGCAAGCGUUAAUCGGAAUUACUGGGCGUAAAGCGUGCGCAGGCGGUUAUAUAAGACAGAUGUGAAAUCCCCGGGCUCAACCUGGGAACUGCAUUUGUGACUGUAUAGCUAGAGUACGGCAGAGGGGGAUGGAAUUCCGCGUGUAGCAGUGAAAUGCGUAGAUAUGCGGAGGAACACCGAUGGCGAAGGCAAUCCCCUGGGCCUGUACUGACGCUCAUGCACGAAAGCGUGGGGAGCAAACAGGAUUAGAUACCCCCGUUAGUCCCUGUCUCUUAUU